UUUCCGUAGGUGAACCUGCGGAAGGAUCAUUCAUAAUAAAGUGUUUUAUGGCACUUUUUAAAAAUCCAUAUCCACCUUGUGUGCAAUGUUAGAUCUCGUCAAUCUUGGCGAGAUUUUUAUACAUCAACUCAUUCUUUAACCAAUUUGUCUGAAAAAUAUUAUGAAUACUUAAUUCAAAAUACAACUUUCAACAACGGAUCUCUUGGCUCUC
rnacentral:misc_RNA from 1 species